AAGUCGUAACAAGGUUUCCGUAGGUGAACCUGCGGAAGGAUCAUUGUAGAGACCUGCACAGCAGAACGACCCGCGAACCGUUCAUCACACCCGCCGGGUGCGCGCGGUGCCGCGAGGCCCCAGCGCACACGGCGGCGCCGCAGGGCGGCAAACGAACCCCGGCGCAGGACGCGCCAAGGAACCGGAACGAAACGAGCGCGCGCCCGCCGCCCCGGAAACGGUGAGCGCGCGGGAGCGUCGCCUUCUUUCACAAACCACAACGACUCUCGGCAACGGAUAUCUCGGCUCUCGCAUCGAUGAAGAACGUAGCGAAAUGCGAUACUUGGUGUGAAUUGCAGAAUCCCGUGAACCAUCGAGUUUUUGAACGCAAGUUGCGCCCGAAGCCUUCGGGCCGAGGGCACGUCUGCCUGGGUGUCACGCAACGUCGCCCCCCUCCCCCGCUGGUUGUGGGCCGGGGGCGGACAGUGGCCUCCCGUGUGCUCACCGCGCGCGGUUGGCCGAAAAACGAGUCCCCCGCGGCGAGCGCUGCGACUACCGGUGGUUGAACGACCCUCUGAGCACGUCGCGCGCCGGCGCCGCGGAACCGGGAACUCCACACGACCCUAACGCGUCGCGCACGCUCCUGCUGCGACCCCAGGUCAGGCGGGACU
rnacentral:rRNA from 1 species